rnacentral:misc_RNA from 1 species
GGAUAAUUGGAGGACUAUAUCUUGUAGUGGAUUGUGUAGUGUCUUCGUUAUAUUUAAUUGUACAGGCUUCCGUCCUUAAGAAAUAUCCAGUUGAGCUGAUUGUGGUCUUCUUUUACUGCUUCUUUGCAUCCAUUCUAUCAGUAACUGUCUCUCUGUUUAUGGACAAUAACUCAAAUGCUUGGUUGCUACAACCUGGUACAAGAUUGUUCGCUGUUCUAUACUCAGGAAUAUUUGGCUCAGCAUUUCAAGUUAGUGUGAUGUUUUGGUGCAUUCGUAGAAAGGGACCUCUCUUUGUUGCUAUGUUCCAUCCUCUUGGAAUUGUAAUUGCUGCUGCAUUGGGUAUAAUCUUCUUAGGAGAUAUUUUCUACCUUGGAAGCUUGGUUGGGUCAAUUGUAAUUGUUGUUGGCUUUUACGCUGUUAUGUGGGGAAAAACAAAAGAAGACAUGGUGGAUGAAGACAAGCUCACAAGAAAUAUCAAUUCAAAGGCCCCACUUUUGGAAAUAAAGGAUGCAGAGACAAAAAUUUAAGCAUAAAUUAUAGAAUGGAAGAAGUCAUAGCAAGUUGACAAUGCAUAUUGUGGAAGUUGUAGACAUGGAAGCCACAACCAAAUGAAGUGUGUAUAAAAUUGUUGAAACAUUCAGACACCUGCUCAGUAUUGUUGCAAAUGCAGAGCAGAUAAACUUAUGACUUG